rnacentral:rRNA from 1 species
UAGAGUUUGAUCAUGGCUCAGGAUGAACGCUAGCGACAGGCUUAACACAUGCAAGUCGAGGGGCAGCGGGGUAGGAAGCUUGCUUUCUGCCGCCGGCGACCGGCGCACGGGUGAGUAACACGUAUGCAACCUGGCCGUGACAGAUGGAUAACCGGGAGAAAUCCCGCCUAAUACAACAUAAUGCCGGGAGGGGACAUCCCCUGCCGGCCAAAGGGGGCAACCCUGGUCAUGGAUGGGCAUGCGGCGCAUUAGGUAGUUGGUGGGGCAACGGCCCACCAAGCCGACGAUGCGUAGGGGUUCUGAGAGGAAGGUCCCCCACAUUGGAACUGAGACACGGUCCAAACUCCUACGGGAGGCAGCAGUGAGGAAUAUUGGUCAAUGGCCGGAAGGCUGAACCAGCCAAGUCGCGUGAGGGAAUAAGGCCCUACGGGUCGUAAACCUCUUUUGCCAGGGAGCAAUGCCGUCCACGUGUGGACGGAAGGAGAGUACCUGGAGAAAAAGCAUCGGCUAACUCCGUGCCAGCAGCCGCGGUAAUACGGAGGAUGCGAGCGUUAUCCGGAUUUAUUGGGUUUAAAGGGUGCGUAGGCGGCCUGCCAAGUCAGCGGUAAAAUUGCGGGGCUCAACCCCGUACAGCCGUUGAAACUGCCGGGCUCGAGUGGGCGAGAAGUAUGCGGAAUGCGUGGUGUAGCGGUGAAAUGCAUAGAUAUCACGCAGAACCCCGAUUGCGAAGGCAGCAUACCGGCGCCCGACUGACGCUGAGGCACGAAAGUGCGGGGAUCAAACAGGAUUAGAUACCCUGGUAGUCCGCACAGU